UACGGAGAGUUUGAUUCUGGCUCAGAACGAACGCUGGCGGCGUGUUUAAGACAUGCAAGUCGCACGGGACUAGUUGAGUAGUAAUACAAGGCUAGUUUAGUGGCGCACGGGUGAGUAACAUGUGAAUUACAUGCCCUAUAGUGGGGAAUAGCCCAGGGAAACUUGGAUUAAUACCCCAUAGUCUCGCAAGAGUAAAGGUGGCCAGUAGUAAUAUUGGCUGUCGCUAUAGGAUUGGUUCGCACCCUAUCAGCUUGUUGGUGAGGUAAUGGCUCACCAAGGCUACGACGGGUACCUGGUCUGAGAGGACGAUCAGGCACACUGGAACUGAGACACGGUCCAGACACCUACGGGUGGCAGCAGUCGAGAAUAAUUCACAAUGGGGGCAACCCUGAUGGUGCAACGCCGCGUGGAGGAUGACGGUCUUCGGAUUGUAAACUCCUGUCAUCUGGGAGUAAGGCAUGGUCGUGAAUAGCGAACAUGAUUGAUAGUACCAGAAGAGGAAGGGACGGCUAACUUCGUGCCAGCAGCCGCGGUAAUACGAAGGUCCCAAGCGUUGUUCGGAAUCACUGGGCGUAAAGGGAGCGUAGGCGGCGUGGUAAGUCAGAUGUGAAAUCCCGAGGCUCAACCUCGGAACUGCAUCCGAUACUGCCAUGCUAGAGGAUUGGAGAGGUAGCUGGAAUUCUUGGUGUAGCAGUGAAAUGCGUAGAGAUCAAGAGGAACACUCGUGGCGAAAGCGAGCUACUGGACAAUUCCUGACGCUGAGGCUCGAAGGCUAGGGUAGCGAAAGGGAUUAGAUACCCCUGUAGUCCUAGCAGUAAACGGUGCACGCUUGGUGUGAGGGGAAUCGACCCCCCUUGUGCCGGAGCUAACGCGUUAAGCGUGCCGCCUGGGAAGUACGGUCGCAAGACUAAAACUCAAAGAAAUUGACGGGGACCCGCACAAGCGGUGGAGUAUGUGGCUUAAUUCGAUGCAACGCGAAGAACCUUACCAAGGCUUGACAUGCAUCUCUAAACACGUGAAAGCGUGUGACCCUUCGGGGAAUUUGCACAGGUGCUGCAUGGCCGUCGUCAGCUCGUGUCGUGAGAUGUUGGGUUAAGUCCCGCAACGAGCGCAACCCUUGUGAUUAGUUGCCAGCACGUUAAGGUGGGAACUCUAGUCAGACUGCCCAGAUCAACUGGGAGGAAGGUGGGGACGACGUCAGGUCAGUAUGGCCCUUACGCCUUGGGCUGCACACGUACUACAAUGCCCAGCACAAUGAGAACCGAUACCGCGAGGUGGAGGAAAUCUGUAAAACUGGGCUCAGUUCGGAUUGGAGGCUGCAACUCGCCUCCAUGAAGUUGGAAUCGCUAGUAAUGGGGCAUCAUCUACGGCCCCGUGAAUACGUUCCCGGGUCUUGUACACACCGCCCGUCACAUCAUGGAAGCCGGUCGCACCCGAAGUGCUCGUACCAACCAGUAAUGGGGGUAGAGUCCUAAGGUGUAGCUGGUAACUGGGAUGAAGUCGUAACAAGGUAGCCGUAGGGGAACCUGCGGCUGGAUCACCUCCUUU
rnacentral:rRNA from 1 species